rnacentral:misc_RNA from 1 species
AAAAAAUGUUAAAUGUUAGAGAAAAAGAUGCACAUGUAUGUACCUAGACAAACAAGGGACUCCACUACUUCCAUCCCACCACCCAAACACAAAUACACUCUCCUUUGUUUCCUCUCUCCUCUCUUUCUUUUUUGUUCUCCUAAUUCCCAGGAGAGCUUUGUAAUGGCCAUUUUAGCAAGCCUAAAUGUUAUGAUCUCUCGCCUAGGAUCGAGUCACGAG